GACUGUGGCCUGGUCACCUGCUAGUUGGCAUCUCUUAUCGGUCUGUCAGUCUGUCUGUCUACCUAUCUUGGGAUUGGAAGCACUUUUCUCUCUUCAAACUCCCCCAUCCCAAUUCCUUGUUUUUGAAAGUUUUGAAAAAUAGGCACUCAUAUUUUUCUUCCUGGAGUUUUUCUUUUGGCUGCAACUGUUUUAGCCAAGACUGGAGCUCACAACCCCCCCCCCCCAUACCCCCACCCUACUAUUACUUCAAAAUAAUUUGCAUCUCUGUGGGGGGUUUUUUGUUUUGUUUUUGUUUGUUUUCGGCUGCUUCUCGCUCUUGGAGCUAAGACUUCUUUUCAGGCUCCACCUGGGCCUGGGGUUGGGGCUGGACUUCAUAUUCUACACUUUCUUUUUUGACCUGACUUGAAAGAUGUCUGACUGCCUCUCCCUAGGGACUCUAUCUAGGAGAUGGAUCCCUGGAAGAAGGGAGACACUCCGGCUUCUACUGUGAGAGUCUGGAUAAUAUCCAAAGGCACACAGCCACUGGAAACUUAAAAUAAAAAGCUCAACAGCGCUUUCCAAAGACAGGGAAAAGGCUCAAACUGCAAGAUUAGGUCGACGUCUUUCAUAAUUAUUUUCUAUUAAAAACUUUCCCGGAAAUGUGUUCGUGACACCAGCCGGGAGCCUCUUCUUUUCUAGGGAUACUGGCCAGCUCUAGUAUUGUUAUUCUCCGCAAGGAUAUUUUCCUUCUGUGGCCUUUAGAAAAUAAUGGACGACUCGACUUUCUUGUUUUGACUAACGAAACCUCUCUUGGAGAGACUGGAGUAUGCAGAUCGAACCUAGAAAUUGUACUUUCCUCAAGAUCCGCUUAAGAGAAUCUGGCUGAUGGCUUUGGUCUGAGAGUUCAGACAUCUCUUGUGCAACUAAGAAAGACCUCAUUUUCCAUUUGCUGGAUCCUCCUGGUUUGUCAUCCCUGAGGCCUGUAAGAAGCCCAUCAGGAGGUCCCCUGCGCUGGAAGGACCAUGUGAGUUCAUCCCAGAUGAUGGGUAGCACCAUGGUUUUAGCAGCUCACACAGUGGAGAACCACAUUCGCUCUGGAAGAGCUUGGCAACAUGUAUUUGGUAACACAACAAGGUCAGCUUGAGCUCUAUCCUUCUGUGGCCAUACUGAACAAAAGGAGAGAGAGAGAGAGAGAGAGAGAGAGAGAGAGAGAGAGAGAGACAGGCAGGCAGGCAGACAGACAGACAGAGGCAGAGACAGGCAGACAGAGACAGAGAAACAGAAAUUAUUCCUGAAUUAUUUUUAAAAGUUAAUUUUAAAAU
rnacentral:lncRNA from 1 species